CCCACCCCGCGGAUGCGCUGGAUCUCGAGGGCGCAGAACUCGGAGUGGCGAGGAGAAGCGGGAGGGCAGAUUGAGCGCGCGUGGGGCUCGUGAGCCCGGGGACUGGGAGUAAAAACAACUACCUCAAGCAGGAGGCUCAGUCCCCGCCAACACUCGCUGGGAUAACUCUCGAUAGGACGGAGGAGGAGCCCCCCAAUGGGACCCUCCUCAGUGCAAUGGAUGGGACCCUCCUCAGUGCGAUGGAUACAGGGUCUCUCUCUGUCGCCCAGGCUGGAGUGCAGUGGCGCGAUCCCGGCUCACUGCAGCAGCCUCAACUUCCAGAGUUCAAGGGAUCCUCCCACCCCAACCUCCCGAGUAGCUGAGACUACACGAAUGUACCACCACGCCCGGCUAAGUUUUGUGUUUCUCGUAGAAACGUGGUUUCGCCAUGUUGCCCAGGCUGUUCUCAAACUCCUGACCUCGGGUGAUCUGCCAGCCUCGGCCUCCCAAAGUGCUAGGAUUACAAGCAGAACCACCGCGUCUCUUUUUUGUUUUUGUUUUGUUGUUGUUGUUACAGAGUUUCGCUCUUGUCGCCCAGGCUGGGAUGCAAUGGUGUGAUCUCGGCUCAUUGCAGCCUCCGCCUCCCGGGUUCAAGCAAUUCUCCUGCCUCAGCCUCGUGAGUAGCUGGGAUUGCAGGAGCCGGCCACCAUGCCCGGCUAAUUUUUUGUAUUUUUAGUAUAGACGGGGUUUCACCAUCUUGGCCAGGCUGGUCUCUAACUCCUGACCUCUGAUGAUCCACCCACCUCAGCCUCCCAAAGUGCUGAGAUUACGAACGUGAGCCACCACGUCCAGCCUGACUGCUUUUUCUUAUAUCACUUUUUUUGUUGUGGUAAAAUAUAACAAAAUUUGCUAUUUUAACCAUUUUUAGUGUACAAUUCAAUGGCAUUCUGUAUACUCACAUUGUCGUGCAACCAGCACCACUAUGGGUCUCCGGAACUCUUUUAUCUUCCCAAACUGAAACUUUGUGUCUAUGAAACAAUAAGUCGGGAUUCCCUUCUCUCCUAGUCCCUGGGAACCACUAUUUCUACUUUCUCACUAUGAAUUUGACUAUUCCUGGUUCCUCAUGUCAGUGGAAUCAUGCAGUAUUUGUCUGGCUUAUUUCACGUAGCAUAAUGUCCUCAAGGUUUCUCCAUGUUGUAGCAUGAGUCCGAAUUUCACUCAUUUUUAAGACUGAAAAAUAUUUCGUCGUGUGCAUACACCACCUCGUUUUUAUCCAUUCAUCUGUCAAUGGACUUAGGUUGUUUCCACCUUUUGGCUAUUGUGAAGAAUGUCGGUUAACAUUGGUAUACAAAUACCUGUUUGAGCCCCUGCUUUCCAUUUUUGGGAGUUGCCAUCAUUUUGAAGCCAAACCAAGGAGAAAGCUCUCCCCUCCCACCUGAGGGAGCAGCAUUUGUUAUUUUAGGAAGUGGGGUUGAGAAGGUGUAACAGCACCCCAGACUGACCACAGCGGCCACGACUGCACACAGGGGAACUUUGCCUCGCUCGACACUACAGGGUGAAAGAAACACAGAAGUUGUCAAGGAACGUGGCCUCUCUUUCUCUCUCAUCUUUCCAGGUGUCUUGUUUCUUUGCUUUAGUCCAGAGGUUUCACUUGCUGAAUAAACUGCCUUGAAAUGUCCAA